rnacentral:rRNA from 1 species
UACGUAGGGGGCAAGCGUUGUCCGGAAUUAUUGGGCGUAAAGGGCCAGUAGGCGGCCAACUAAGUCCGACGUGAAAUCCCAAGGCUUAACCUUGGAACUGCGUCGGAUACUGGAUGGCUUGAAUUCGGGAGAGGGAUGCAGAAUUCCAGGUGUAGCGGUGAAAUGCAUAGAUAUCUGGAGGAAUACCGGUGGCGAAGGCGGCAUCCUGGACCGACAUUGACGCUGAACGGCGAAAGCUAGGGGAGCAAACGGG